rnacentral:lncRNA from 1 species
GAGUAGCUGGGACCACAGUCAGUAUUACAAAGGGAUUGAACAAUUUGGAAGAGUUGGGACUGCUAAAAUAUUUCAGGGAGCAUGCAAUGCAUUCUUGCAAUAAGAGGCAAAACAUCACACAAUGUCAAGAGAAUGCCCCUCUCUAUUUUGUGAAAGGGCUUGGCUCAAGCCAUGUUUGUAUCACAUGACUUCUCCCCUGGCCAGGUCACAUGGUGCAACUGGGCCAAUCCAAUGCUUUCUUCUGGGAAUCUGGAAAAAGGCUUGAGAAAGUUAAUCUCUGCCUGAUACAUGUGGCGAGUGUGAGGGGCCUCAGCCUGCCUAGUGGACUUGAGAAGGAGCAAAACAUGGUCCCAGAAGACAAAAAUGAAGGUAUUGUGAAAGAAGCCAAGAUGAGAGAAGAACCAACUACAUAAUUUGUUACAUCCAAUGCAAAAUGAAAGGCAGAGCCCCUUGUUCAAAAAGCAGGACAAAAGUACUUUUAAGGAACUAAAAUAUAAAGCUCUUUCCUUUCUUCCAUGGUCUUUCAGUUUGUUCUGGUGUGUUUUAUUUGCUAUUUGAUGCUAUUCCAGGUAAAGAAAAAUUGAAAUUCGAUUUUCAGCAAGAAACGGGGUCUUGCUGUAUCACCCAGGAUGAUCUCGAACUCCUGUUCUCAAGCGAUCCUUCUGCCUCGGCCUCGGGAAGUGCUGGGAUUACAGGCGUGAGCCACUGCGCCUGGCCUAAAAAAAAUUUUUUUAAUUAAAAUUAUUAGUAUACAUUUUACCAUUUGUCUUGUGCAAAGUCAAUCUUUCUUCUUUCUUCCAGGGGGGACGCUUGAAUUG